rnacentral:rRNA from 1 species
GUAGUCCACGCCGUAAACGAUGUCGACCAGCCGUUGGGUGCCUUGAGCACUUAGUGGCGCAGUUAACGCGAUAAGUCGACCGCCUGGGGAGUACGGCCGCAAGGUUAAAACUCAAAUGAAUUGACGGGGGCCCGCACAAGCGGUGGAGCAUGUGGUUUAAUUCGAUGCAACGCGAAGAACCUUACCUACCCUUGACAUCCUCGGAACCCUCUGGAGACAGAGGGGUGCCUUCGGGAACCGAGAGACAGGUGCUGCAUGGCUGUCGUCAGCUCGUGUUGUGAAAUGUUUGGUUAAGUCCCGUAACGAGCGCAACCCCUGUCCCUAUUUGCCAGCACGUGAUGGUGGGAACUCUAGGGAGACUGCCGGUGACAAACCGGA